GACGAACGCUGGCGGCGUGCUUAACACAUGCAAGUCGAACGCUGAAGACCUGGCUUUUGUUGGGUUGGAUGAGUGGCGAACGGGUGAGUAACACGUGAGUAACCUGCCCUCUUCUUUGGGAUAACGCCCGGAAACGGGUGCUAAUACUGGAUAUUCACUGAUCUUCGCAUGGGGGUUGGUGGAAAGGUUUGUUCUGGUGGGGGAUGGGCUCGCGGCCUAUCAGCUUGUUGGUGGGGUGAUGGCCUACCAAGGCUUUGACGGGUAGCCGGCCUGAGAGGGUGACCGGUCACAUUGGGACUGAGAGACGGCCCAGACUCGUACGGGAGGCAGCAGUGGGGAAUAUUGCACAAGGGGGGAAAGCCUGAUGCAGCGACGCCGCGUGAGGGAUGGAGGCCUUCGGGUUGUAAACCUCUUUCGCUCAUGGUCAAGCCGCAACUGUGGGUUGUGGUGAGGGUAGUGGGUAAAGAAGCGCCGGCUAACUACGUG
rnacentral:rRNA from 1 species